AACGAACGCUGGCGGCGUGGAUAAGACAUGCAAGUGGGACGCUGGCUGCGGGGUAGCAAUAUUCCGCAGUUGGAGUCGCGAAAGGGUGCGUAACACGUGGGAAAUUUACCGCGAAGCCCGGAAUAACUCGCUGAAAGGCGAGCUAAUACCGGAUGUGACUCCCGGGGGCAGAUCCCGGGAUUUAAAGUUGGGGACCGCAAGGCCUGACACUUUGUGAUAAGCCCGCGACCUAUCAGCUAGUUGGUGAGGUAAUGGCUCACCAAGGCUAAGACGGGUAGCUGGUCUGAGAGGACGACCAGCCACACUGGAACUGAGACACGGUCCAGACACCUACGGGUGGCUG
rnacentral:rRNA from 1 species